rfam:Aedes aegypti strain Liverpool supercont1.761 genomic scaffold, whole genome shotgun sequence.
UGUUCUGUAGCUUAGUUGAUUGAAGCGCCGGUCUAUCGUACACGGAGUCGUGAGUUGGAGUCUCACUAGAACGC